UCUGCCUGAAGCCAAAACUUGUGUUCUCU
rnacentral:piRNA from 1 species